AAGAUAUAUAUAUUCUUGACCAAGGCGACGAGCGGAUUCGAUGUCCGUGACACUUCCCACUAGAGGGCCCUAAUUUGUUUAUUUUGUACAUACGAAUUUUUAAAAUUAAUAAUAAUGUUCCGUUUUGGAAUUUCGACUCGGUUAGCAACUAUUUUUUAGUCUCAUAAAAAUAGCUGAUAACGAGAAGCAGCCAAAGCAAAUGAACUUUCCUAUUUGCAAUCUAUCAACAGUUCAGUGAAGGUCCCUUAAGGCCUGAUCCAUGCCUUCUGUUUAUUUAUAUUGACUUCCUGACCUACUGAUAAUCGCCUAAAUUGCUCAAAUAUUGGGCACAUGAGCUUCCGAAUAAUUGCCGUAGUUCACUCUAUUUACGUUCGUUCUGGUGUUGAGUGCGGUUGAGAUUUGCAUUUCAGUUCCAAAAUCAAAGUGCUAUCAAAACGAAAUGUCUUAUGUUUAUACAUAUUAUAUUUAUAAGCCUAAUACUGAUCAUAGCUGAAGCAGUGUUUAACGAAAAUUAGACUCCUUUUUAUCAGUCUUGUGUGGCAACCAGAAUAGCAGAGAAGGAAUGUGGAGAGCAUACCUAUAAGGCUGUGAGACCUUUGUUAAAGUAUAUUCAUCAGAUGAAGGCAAAGACAGAGAAAUCAAGCAACUGCAGAAGCAACUUAACCAAAAUAAUAAACAGGUCAUUGAGGAGCUUAGAGCUCAGAAUCAAUUCUACAAGCAGAGUAUCAAAGAGCUAACUAACGAAGUUUUGUCAAUAAAAGAGGAAAUUGGUAAACUUAUUUCCAAUCCCUUAAGAAUCCCGGACUAUGAAGUGCAACUGGAGAAUCAAAAGAAGUCAAUUGAUCAACAGGCCCAACAAAUAUCAGAACUCAAAGACAAAAUCAACAUUUGUGAAAAGAAACUUAAAAGCUGUGAAGAGAAGCCCGUUCACAGUGACUGCAACGACUUUGCUGAUGCUCCGGGUAUUCAUACGAUUACUCCAGAUCAAGAAGGUCCUUUCGAUGUUCUCUGUGAUAGUGCGACAGCAAGUCCUGGCUGGACAGCAAGGAGGAUUUUUAUAGGAAUUGGAGCACAUAUCGUGAAGGCUUUGGUUCCCUUCAUGGUGAUUUUUUCUUAGGUCUUGAAAAGAUUCAUCGAUUGACGCGCGCCCAGCCUCAUGAGCUCUACGUGCAUAUGGAAGGAUUUGAUUUAGACUUGAUCAGCUUGGGUAAAUCUGAGGGCAGUGCAACAGCUGAUCGCUUGCAAUACCACAAACAUCAGAAAUUCACCACAUUCGAUCGUGACAAUGACAAUUAUACUUAUCUCUGGCAACUGCGCAAGCGAAAACAAAUUUUGUGGUGGCUGGUGGUUCCGUUCACAGCUAUUGAUCGGCACAGCUUUGUCAAAACAAUUUAAAUGCAAUUAAUUUUGAUAGUGUUUUCUUUCUUUUUUUUUAGUAAUUUAAAUGGCAAAUACUAUGAUCAUAAGGUGGAUAAAGCUGAUGCCAUAUUUUGGGAAUAUUUCUUCACCUUGAAGACAGUCAAAAUGCUUAUACGCCCCAAAAUCAAUGGAAAAUAAUAUAUAAAAACAAAAAUGUAAAGCAAUUUAUUGCAAAAAAGCUAAAAUUGUUUUACAAUUUAUAUAUAAACAGAUUCAUAUGCUGUUAUCCCAACAAAAAUUCACAAUUGACCGGUAUAAAAAACAAACAAAUUCAAAUUUAUUUUUUAUUUAUUAUUAAUGGUCGACAAAGCGAGUAUCUUCUUCAUUAUUCAAUGGAUUAUAUAAUAGAUAAUAGAAUUAUAUGCUAAAAAAAAUAUAAUUUUCUAAAUAGCAUCACCGACCGAUGGAGGUGCUUUAUUUGCCAUUCCGACCAGCUGUGCGCCUU